GGAGAUGUGGCUCAGAAGUUAAGAGCACUGGCUGCUCUUCCAGAGGACCAGGGUUUGAUUCCCAGUAUCCACA
rnacentral:tRNA from 1 species